rnacentral:rRNA from 1 species
GUUGGGUAGGGGAGCGUUCUGUAAGCCUGCGAAGGUGUACUGUGAGGUAUGCUGGAGGUAUCAGAAGUGCGAAUGCUGACAUAAGUAACGAUAAUGCGGGUGAAAAACCCGCACGCCGGAAGACCAAGGGUUCCUGUCCAACGUUAAUCGGGGCAGGGUGAGUCGACCCCUAAGGCGAGGCUGAAAAGCGUAGUCGAUGGGAAACGGGUUAAUAUUCCCGUACUGGUGGUAACUGCGAUGGGGGAACGGAGAAGGCUAGGUUGUCCGGGCGACGGUCGUCCCGGUUCAAGCAGGUAGGCAGAGUGAUUAGGCAAAUCCGGUCACUUAAUGCUGAGAUGUGAUGACGAACCACUAAGGUGGUGAAGCAAUUGAUGCCCCGCUUCCAGGAAAAGCCUCUAAGCUUCAGGUUACCAACAAUCGUACCCCAAACCGACACAGGUGGUCAGGUAGAGAAUACUCAGGCGCUUGAGAGAACUCGGGUGAAGGAACUAGGCAAAAUGGUGCCGUAACUUCGGGAGAAGGCACGCUGGCGGUAGGUAAAGUCCCUUGCGGACGGCGCUGAAGCCAGUCGAAGAUACCAGCUGGCUGCAACUGUUUAUUAAAAACACAGCACUGUGCAAACACGAAAGUGGACGUAUACGGUGUGACGCCUGCCCGGUGCUGGAAGGUUAAUUGAUGGGGUCAGCCGCAAGGCGAAGCUCCUGAUCGAAGCCCCAGUAAACGGCGGCCGUAACUAUAACGGUCCUAAGGUAGCGAAAUUCCUUGUCGGGUAAGUUCCGACCUGCACGAAUGGCGUAAUGAUGGCCAGGCUGUCUCCACCCGAGACUCAGUGAAAUUGAACUCGCUGUGAAGAUGCAGUGUACCCGCGGCAAGACGGAAAGACCCCGUGAACCUUUACUAUAGCUUGACACUGAACAUUGAGCCUUGAUGUGUAGGAUAGGUGGGAGGCUUUGAAGUGUGGACGCCAGUCUGCAUGGAGCCAACCUUGAAAUACCACCCUUUAACGUUUGAUGUUCUAACCUAGGCCCAUAAACUGGGUCGGGGACCGUGUCUGGUGGGUAGUUUGACUGGGGCGGUCUCCUCCUAAAGAGUAACGGAGGAGCACGAAGGUUGGCUAAGCAUGGUCGGACAUCAUGCGGUUAGUGCAAAGGCAUAAGCCAGCUUGACUGCGAGAGUGACGGCUCGAGCAGGUACGAAAGUAGGUCUUAGUGAUCCGGUGGUUCUGAAUGGAAGGGCCAUCGCUCAACGGAUAAAAGGUACUCCGGGGAUAACAGGCUGAUACCGCCCAAGAGUUCAUAUCGACGGCGGUGUUUGGCACCUCGAUGUCGGCUCAUCACAUCCUGGGGCUGAAGUAGGUCCCAAGGGUAUGGCUGUUCGCCAUUUAAAGUGGUACGCGAGCUGGGUUUAGAACGUCGUGAGACAGUUCGGUCCCUAUCUGCCGUGGGCGUUGGAAGAUUGAGAGGGGUUGCUCCUAGUACGAGAGGACCGGAGUGAACGCACCACUGGUGUUCGGGUUGUCAUGCCAAUGGCAUUGCCCGGUAGCUAAGUGCGGAAGAGAUAACCGCUGAAAGCAUCUAAGCGGGAAACUUGCCUCGAGAUGAGUCUUCCCUGUCGCUUUAAGCGACCUAAAGGAACGUUUAAGACUAAGACGUUGAUAGGCUGGGUGUGUAAGCGUAGCGAUACGUUGAGCUAACCAGUACUAAUGAACCGUGAGGCUUAACCUGACAACACCGAAAGUGUUUUG